CUUACACCUAGAGGCUCUCGCUCUACGGCCGGAACCUUGUUGCUAGGGACCGGGCGGUUUGCGGCAACCGUGGGCACUGCUGAAUUUGAAUUGAGGGGCGAGGGAAAAGUUUUCCUCAGGUGUGGUGGGGAGAGGGAGGCGGAUGCCGGGAAACCGUAGGGACGCGGUCAGAAAGGCGACGGGCUGUCGGAGUUGGAAAGGUAAAGUUGGAGGCUCGGCGGCGUCCUGCCUCCGCGCUGGCCACACCCGCCGCGGCUGCCCGGGGCAGGGAGGGAUCUGGCUGAUUCUCCCUGUACCCUGUGCCCUCGGAGCUGCCCCUCCGAGCGCCCAGAGGUCCCCGCCUGCCUGCUUCCUGGAGGCAGGGCUACCAUCAGUCCCACGCCUCGCGUGUCCGCCCCCCGCACCCCGGGGCCAAGGAAAGGGAUCGCGGUCUGGACUCCCCGGGGAGUUCCCUUGAUGAGGGGAAGGGCAGGUUUGGGGACGGCGAGGACACGCGGCGACCGGAGAGAGGCUACCUGACCCGCGCAGCCCGGACUCCCUUCCCUUCCCUUCCAGGGACGCCUGGUUUCCCCCCAAGCGAACCGGGAUGGGAAGUGACUUCAAUGAGAUUGAACUUCAGCUGGAUUGAAAGAGAGGCUAGAAGUUCCGCUUGCCAGCAGCCUCCUUAGUAGAGCGGAAUGAGUAAUACCCACACGGUGCUUGUCUCACUUCCCCAUCCGCACCCGGCCCUCACCUGCUGUCACCUCGGCCUCCCACACCCGGUCCGCGCUCCCCGCCCUCUUCCUCGCGUAGAACCGUGGGAUCCUAGGUGGCAGGACUCAGAGCUAAGGUAUCCACAGGCCAUGAAUUCCUUCCUAAAUGAGCGGUCAUCGCCGUGCAGGACCUUAAGGCAAGAAGCAUCGGCUGACAGAUGUGAUCUCUGAACCUGAUAGAUUGCUGAUUUUAUCUUAUUUUAUCCUUGACUUGGUACAAGUUUUGGGAUUUCUGAAAAGACCAUACAGAUAACCACAAAUAUCAAGAAAGUCGUCUUCAGUAUUAAGUAGAAUUUAGAUUUAGGUUUCCUUCCUGCUUCCCACCUCCUUCGAAUAAGGAAACGUCUUUGGGACCAACUUUAUGGAAUAAAUAAGCUGAGCUGUAUUUCAAGUAAUAUAGUUAUAAAUUAACAAUGUAGCAGUUAUUGAUAGAGAAAUUGAGAAAACUGAAACGUGACCGGAGUAUUGGAAAUAACGUAGUACAUCACCUAGCACAAUGACACAUAGUAGGUGCUCAAUAAAUUUAUGCUUAUAAUUUUUGUCACUUCUAUGGCAGGAUUUUUUUAUUAGGUUAAAAUUAUCUUUUAAACACCUUCCGGAAUUUUAGAAUAUUCAUUAAUAAUGUCUUCAAACCUUUCAACUGAAAUAAAUUUACAGCUGAAGUCUGAUGAUUUAAAGUUAGAAAGUUUAAUCUUGAAUAUAAAUGAACAUUUUCUCUCCCACAUUUUCUUGGGCAUUUUGAGAAGUAAAUGCGUUAUUUAUUGGUCCAUGAAAUGUGACUGUAAAUAUUCUUUGCUAUACAUUAUGUCUAUAUAUCUGCAUUCAUCCUCAAUGCCAAAACUAGAAUCAUUAGUCUUAAUGAUCAUUUUAAGUACAGGCAGUCCUCGCUUUCCUUGAUACCAUGUUAACCGAAACUUGUGUAUGUCAACACGGUGUCCUUGCUUUGCUUGGUUAAGUGUGAGUUCUUCCUCCCUUUUUUUAAGAGUUGUACAAUGUUUUUCAGUCGCCUACCGAAUCAGGUCAUAGACUAUGGAAUUGACCCCACCCCACCAACAUUUUUACAGCUACCCUGAUUUCUGACCAGAAAGGAAAAAAAAACUUUCCAGCUCUAUCACACAUUUUACCUACUCUUAAACUUAGGAGGUAUUACAAAUAGCAUUUUCUCAUGUUCUCUUUCUGGCCUGUACCUCCCUGCUAAGCUUCCUUCAGUGUUCAUCCUCACCUCAUAGAGAGAUGAAGUGAAGAGACAAACAGAAGUCAUUUUCUUCCUUACUUUAGUGGUUUCUGGUUUAGUUAGUUUGGGCCAAACUGUGGACAAGUACCUUUUCAGGUAACUUUUUUUUCUUAUUUCUAUGUCCUCAACACCUAGUGGAGUACGUAGCCAAUAGUAGAUGCUUAAUAAACAUUUCUUAAAUUAAUAUUGUUGACCUUUUCUGACCCUGUUCUUGACAGUAAGGUACAUAAUCUGCCUUCAUCCCUUUAGUCCUUAGGAACAGAUAAAGUCAUGGAUAUGAAAGUGAUCACUGUCAUUAAUAUCCACAUUAAAAUUGCUCUUGAUUUUAGUUUCUCCAUAAUCAUUUUCCCUAAACAAUGAACUCUGUUCACCUUUUUUUUUAAAAUAUGCACAGUGAAUAUUACUGGUAGCCCAAAUCUUCUAACAUAAAAUUUCCAUUUUGUAAAAGCUUCUGAUAAGCAUAUAUGUUAUGAAUUGAAUGUUUGAUUAUUAUACUUUAAUAUUCUUGAAAAUAUUGAUACCUGGACUGGAAAGAAAACAGACAAAAGUAAAUCUCAGAAUAAAUUACUGCUUUAAACAUGA